rnacentral:rRNA from 1 species
UCAGGACGAACGCUGGCGGCGUGCCUAAUACAUGCAAGUCGAGCGAGCAGAACCAGCAGAUUUACUUCGGUAAUGACGCUGGGGACGCGAGCGGCGGAUGGGUGAGUAACACGUGGGGAACCUGCCCCAUAGUCUAGGAUACCACUUGGAAACAGGUGCUAAUACCGGAUAAUAAAGCAGAUCGCAUGAUCAGCUUAUAAAAGGCGGCGUAAGCUGUCGCUAUGGGAUGGCCCCGCGGUGCAUUAGCUAGUUGGUAAGGUAACGGCUUACCAAGGCAAUGAUGCAUAGCCGAGUUGAGAGACUGAACGGCCACAUUGGGACUGAGACACGGCCCAAACUCCUACGGGAGGCAGCAGUAGGGAAUCUUCCACAAUGGACGCAAGUCUGAUGGAGCAACGCCGCGUGAGUGAAGAAGGUUUUCGGAUCGUAAAGCUCUGUUGUUGGUGAAGAAGGAUAGAGGUAGUAACUGGCCUUUAUUUGACGGUAAUCAACCAGAAAGUCACGGCUAACUACGUGCCAGCAGCCGCGGUAAUACGUAGGUGGCAAGCGUUGUCCGGAUUUAUUGGGCGUAAAGCGAGCGCAGGCGGAAGAAUAAGUCUGAUGUGAAAGCCCUCGGCUUAACCGAGGAAUUGCAUCGGAAACUGUUUUUCUUGAGUGCAGAAGAGGAGAGUGGAACUCCAUGUGUAGCGGUGGAAUGCGUAGAUAUAUGGAAGAACACCAGUGGCGAAGGCGGCUCUCUGGUCUGCAACUGACGCUGAGGCUCGAAAGCAUGGGUAGCGAACAGGAUUAGAUACCCUGGUAGUCCAUGCCGUAAACGAUGAGUGCUAAGUGUUGGGAGGUUUCCGCCUCUCAGUGCUGCAGCUAACGCAUUAAGCACUCCGCCUGGGGAGUACGACCGCAAGGUUGAAACUCAAAGGAAUUGACGGGGGCCCGCACAAGCGGUGGAGCAUGUGGUUUAAUUCGAAGCAACGCGAAGAACCUUACCAGGUCUUGACAUCUAGUGCCAUCCUAAGAGAUUAGGAGUUCCCUUCGGGGACGCUAAGACAGGUGGUGCAUGGCUGUCGUCAGCUCGUGUCGUGAGAUGUUGGGUUAAGUCCCGCAACGAGCGCAACCCUUAUUAUUAGUUGCCAGCAUUAAGUUGGGCACUCUAAUGAGACUGCCGGUGACAAACCGGAGGAAGGUGGGGAUGACGUCAAGUCAUCAUGCCCCUUAUGACCUGGGCUACACACGUGCUACAAUGGGCAGUACAACGAGAAGCGAGCCUGCGAAGGCAAGCGAAUCUCUGAAAGCUGUUCUCAGUUCGGACUGCAGUCUGCAACUCGACUGCACGAAGCUGGAAUCGCUAGUAAUCGCGGAUCAGAACGCCGCGGUGAAUACGUUCCCGGGCCUUGUACACACCGCCCGUCACACCAUGGAAGUCUGCAAUGCCCAAAGCCGGUGGCCUAACCUUCGGGAAGGAGCCGUCUAAGGCAGGGCAGAUGACUGGGGUGAAGUCGUACAGGGAAAAC